GAAAUAAGUUAUCACAAAUUGAAGCUGCUAACUUACAAUUUAAGCGGUGAAAUUCCGUUUUUAUUUCU
rnacentral:tRNA from 1 species